rnacentral:rRNA from 1 species
CAGUAGCCGCGGUAAUACGGAGGGGGCUAGCGUUGUUCGGAAUUACUGGGCGUAAAGCGCACGUAGGCGGCUUUGUAAGUUAGAGGUGAAAGCCCGGAGCUCAACUCCGGAAUUGCCUUUAAGACUGCAGAGCUAGCAGGUGAGAGAGGUGAGUGGAAUUCCGAGUGUAGAGGUGAAAUUCGUAGAUAUUCGGAAGAACACCAGUGGCGAAGGCGGCUCACUGGCUCAUACUGGACGCUGAGGUGCGAAAGCGUGGGGAGCAAUCAGGAUUAGAGACCCGCGUAGUCCCUGUCUCUUAUAC